rnacentral:tRNA from 1 species
GGAGCCGUGGCAGAGUGGUCGAUCGCGGCGGUCUUGAAAACCGUUGAGCCUUAACCGGUUCCGUGGGUUCGAAUCCCACCGGCUCCGCCA